rnacentral:rRNA from 1 species
GACGAACGCUGGCGGCGUGCCUAAUACAUGCAAGUAGAACGCUGAAGAGAGGAGCUUGCUCUUCUUGGAUGAGUUGCGAACGGGUGAGUAACGCGUAGGUAACCUGCCUUGUAGCGGGGGAUAACUAUUGGAAACGAUAGCUAAUACCGCAUAACAAUGGAUGACACAUGUCAUUUAUUUGAAAGGGGCAAUUGCUCCACUACAAGAUGGACCUGCGUUGUAUUAGCUAGUAGGUGAGGUAAUGGCUCACCUAGGCGACGAUACAUAGCCGACCUGAGAGGGUAAUCGGCCACACUGGGACUGAGACACGGCCCAGACUCCUACGGGAGGCAGCAGUAGGGAAUCUUCGGCAAUGGGGGCAACCCUGACCGAGCAACGCCGCGUGAGUGAAGAAGGUUUUCGGAUCGUAAAGCUCUGUUGUAAGUCAAGGACGGGUGUGAGAGUGGAAAGUUCACACUGUGACGGUAGCUUACCAGAAAGGGACGGCUAACUACGUG